AAGAAUAUUAAAUUAAUUUCUAUUUAUGAAAAUUUCUAGUCACACUUCAUUAAAUCUAAUAAAACUAAAUGAAUUAAUAUUUCUAAAGAUUCUAUUGAACUAAACAAAACUGAAUUUGGAUAUGGGCCUCAAAGCAGAGGCCCAUUCACUACUGCACAUAUGGGAGGUGCGUUAGUAGGCAAAGCAAAAUUCCUGGCACAUGGUAUAAGGCCUAAAACGGAAGGCCCAUUUCAAAAAUCUUCUAUGGCCACAUGAAAUGGCAAAAGCCAAGCAAGUUGGUCGAGUCCUCCAAUGCACAUGUGAAAAGAUACAAGGGUGCAUGCAUUAACUAGCUUAUGUAAUCAAGGCAUGUGCACUUUUUCAAUGCAAUAAAUGCAUAACGGUCACCUGGAGCGGCAGUUGGCGCAUUGAAUACCUGCUUUAAAUCUGUCAAUGGAAAUGUAGGGUCACAUAGAGGAUACUCAGUGCACAGAGAAAAAAAAGAUUUAAGCAUAUGAAAUGGUGACCACACAUCCCCUCUCUCCUCCAAUCAAACAUAAUCAUCCCAACGUAGCCCCCUCCGUAGUGCCAGCAGCCGUCUCCGGUGGCGGAGGCACCCCUAAACACCAAUCAAGAACCACUUCUAUGCCCUGAGUCCGAAAACAACAUUAAAAACUCCUAAUUCUCUAUGGUUUCCUCAAAUCGAGAGGAAAGAGUUAAGAUCCCUAAUUGAUAAAACGUGAAAUUAAACAGCAACGGAGGGGAAUCGAGCCACCUCACUCUAGGGCUUUUAUUCCCCUCAUGAAACUCUAUCUUUUAGCAACCUUAGAAUGCGAAACAGAAGAAUAUGGUUGGAGACUCGCCAGAAUGUUGGCCGGCUCCAGGUAAAGAUUCUUGACCUUGAACUCUUUCUUCCUUAUUUCGAUAUCUUAUUCUCCUUGCGAUAUGCUUCUUCUAUGAUCUAAGAGAAAUCGAGAGUGUGGGGGAACCAGAAUCAGAGAGUGUGUUAAUGAUGGAGCUUAGCACAAGCUGAUUGAAGCUCUGAUGAUGAGCUUCUAUGGAUUAUAGGGAGUGCGUAUAGGUGAGCUUAAGGAAGAAAUCAGAGAGAAUUGAGAUUCUAUUUGUGAGUGCAGAGUGAAUGAAUCAUUGUUAUUGGAGUGAAUGGUUGAAUAUAUAGGAGCUGAGGUUCUAACAUAAUUGGGUAGGGAUUUGGGUAGGUAGUUAGAAAUGUUAGGGAAGGGUUAAAGUUAGUUUUGGUUAGUUGUUAAAUCUGUUAGUUAAUUGUUAAUUGAACUUGUUGCUGAUUUGUUGGAUCGAUGUUGUUAGCACAUUUGAAAGGGAAUGUAAUAGAAGCAGCUAGUUAAUUGUAAGUUCUGUUAAGAAACUUAUGUUAAUUGUUUUUGAAAUAUUGGCUUUGAUGAUUUGAUUUACUUUCUUAACCUAAAUCGCAACUUUCAGAGCUGCAGAAACAAUCCAAUGUGUUAGUGUUAAAAAUGAAACUGAGUUGUUAGAUGAUUAAGUCCUUGCAAUGUUAAACUAAGUUUUGCUAGAAAAGCUAGUUUGGGUUAAAUUUUAUUACUGACAUGCUCUGCUUUGGAAAGCUGCUAAAUCCUAUUGAUAAAGUUUGAAACUGAUAGCAUGGGCUUCCACUAUUUUUAUUAGAUGUUGGUUAAACUAGUCCUUUUAUAGGAUGUUCCAAAAGAUUAAUUAUCUACAAGGUUAAUGGUGAUUGGUGAAUUAUCAUGCUGCCUUUUGUUGAUGUGAAGUUAUAAUGUUAACUGAACUGUGAAUUUGUUGCAGGAAUUUGGACUAAGAUGACUUGAUUUGUUGCUGAAGGCAUUAUUUGAUCAAUGAGGCUUGCUAAAUUAUGCUGAAGUCCAAGGUAUUCAUGUUCCUUCUUGUGGCUUUGAUGGAAUCCGAUGCUUCGUAUGUUGUCAUGGCAAUUGAAUAGCAUGUUUGGAUGUUACCACAUGAUUGAUGUUUGUUUAAUCUACUGCAGGUUUUAUAUUCUUGGCCUUGCUUGGAUACUACAUGGUUGAACCCAAAGUGGUGUAAAGGAUGUUGCUACCGUCAUGUGGUCUGCAAAAUGAUUCCCAUGGUGAUGGAAGAUUGGUGUAAAGGAUGGUGGGCCUUGAAGAUGGAAGUUGAUACUUGUAAUCAAAUUAGAUAUUGUGCAUUUAGAACUUGUACAACUUGUUUUAUUGAGAUGUAAUAACUAUUAAAAUUAUGCAUGCAACAUGAUCUUUGAUAACAUUUCAAUCAAUUUUCUCCAUAUUCAUUCCAUGCUAUCUAUGUAUAUGUGUAUGUAAAACUUCAUGUAAGACUCUAUGUAGGAUAAAUGAAGGUGGAAAUGGAUGAGUGAAUUCAAAGAUUUGAAUGAACUUCUUUAAGCAUGACAUAAUGAAGUAGAUGUAUGAAUGAAUGUGAAUGGAAUUAGAAAGUUCAAAGUACAUUCUUAAUCAAG
rnacentral:lncRNA from 1 species